UCCCAAUUCCCAUCUCUAUUCUGAAACGAUGACCCGUUCUUCUCGCCACAGCCUGGAUCUAUUGUGUUCUCUAUUGUGUUAUGAGCCCCAUAUAUUAUUCUUCUCUCAAUUGUCAAGAUCUGUUCCUUUCACUAUUUGGGCACACCCUUUCCUACAACAAUUGCUCAUCCCCUCUCUCCGGGAGAGAGAAAAUGAGCUGAUGAAAAGAGAGAGAGAUGAGAAAAUGCCUGUGAUUGCCCACCUGAGUAGAAGGAUGUGCUCUAAACUCGGAAAUUACGGAUUGAGAAAUUGGGGCUAAUUUGUGGGAUGCGGAUCUCUGACUUUCUUGUUUUGGGUAACUACAAACUGCCUCAUGAAUGUGCCUUUGUGCAAUGUAAAACACAGUCCAGAUUGGCGGCAGGAAUCUGUGGCCUUGAAAGGUGAAGAUCUGGUCCUGCCGGUGGUGAACAAAUACAUGUCACAUGAGUUGAUGGGGAAUAAUAUUUUGUACUAAUUGAUGUGUUUAGAGUUUGGGUUAUGUAAAUAUUAAAGUAUCCUGAAGUGGAGAUGGUGGAUCCUUCUUUUUGUAACAUGUAACGUAUGAAGUUCCAAAUGUUUUCAAGUAUAAAUGUUCAUAUGAGCAGGCAGUUCCAGCAAUAAUACCCUAGUACCCUUUUAUAUA